GUCAUGUUAGUUUAGUGGUAAAAUGCAACACUUCCAAUGUUGAUUCGUGGGUUCAAUUCCCACACAUGACUCA
rnacentral:tRNA from 1 species